rnacentral:rRNA from 1 species
UUGACACAGGGAGGUAGUGACAAGAAAUAUCAAUAGAGGGCAUUUAUAUGUCUUCUAAUUGGAAUGAGAACAAGGUAAACAGCUUAUCGAGGAUCCAGCAGAGGGCAAGUCUGGUGCCAGCAGCCGCGGUAAUUCCAGCUCUGUAAGCGUAUACCAAAGUUGUUGCAGUUAAAACGCUCGUAGUCGGAUUUUGGCGUGGCCCGUGCUGUGCGCGUAGUGCGUGCGGCGCUGGGACGCGCUUUUGUGGAGGGCGGCGCGUUGUGGCUUCACUGUCGCGGCGUGUCGGCGCCACCGUUUACUGUGAAAAAAUUAGAGUGUUCAAAGCAGGCGUUUGCCGUGAAUACAUUAGCAUGGAAUAAUAGAAUAGGACUUGGUUUCUAUUUUGUUGGUUUGUGAGAGCCGAGUAAUGAUUAAGAGGGACGGUUGGGGGCAUUUGUAUUCCAGCGUCAGAGGUGAAAUUCUUGGAUUGCUGGAAGACAAACCGCUGCGAAAGCGUCUGCCAAGGACGUCUUCAUUGAUCAAGAACGAAAGUAAGGGGAUCGAAGACGAUCAGAUACCGUCGUAGUCUUUACUAUAAACGAUGAGAACUGGGGAUCGGGCGGGCAUUACGAUGACCCGUCCGGAACCCUCCGGGAAACCAAAGUGUUUGCUUUCUGGGGGGAGUAUGGUCGCAAGGCUGAAACUUAAAGGAAUUGACGGAAGGGCAUCACCGGGUGUGGAGCCUGCGGCUUAAUUUGACUCAACACGGGAAAACUUACCAGGUCCGGACAUAGUGAGGAUUGACAGAUUGAGAGCUCUUUCUUGAUUCUAUGGUUGGUGGUGCAUGGCCGUUCUUAGUUGGUGGAGUGAUUUGUCUGGUUAAUUCCGUUAACGAGCGAGACCUGGGCGUGCUAACUAGGGGCCGCUACAUUUUUGUAGCUGCUUGUCCCUUCUUAGACGGACUGCGGGCGUCUAGUCCGCGGAAGCUCCAGGCAAUAACAGGUCUGAGAUGCCCUUAGAUGUUCUGGGCCGCACGCGCGCUACACUGAGCGGACCAACGGGUGAGGAUGCGCGAGAGCGUUUCCCAAUCCCCAAAUCCGCUCGUGCUGGGGAUAGAGGCUUGCAAUUUUCCCUCUUGAACGAGGAAUACCUUGUAAGCGUGGGUCAUCAGCCCGCGCUGAAUACGUCCCUGCCCUUUGUACACACCGCCCGUCGCUCCUACCGAUUGAGUGAUCCGGUGAGGCUUUGGGACCGCUGCGAUCGGAGCGUCUACGCUCUGGCCGCGGUGGAAACUUAUCCGAACCUUAUCACUUAGAGGAAGGAGAA